rnacentral:lncRNA from 1 species
AACCACCCUCAAACUCCCUCGUCUCUCAGAUUCUCUCUAACGCUUGAAACCCUAUCCACCAUUAACGUCCUCUCCGACCAAAUCCACACGGCGUCCAUGGCUUCCCAGGCCACGGACAGCCUGUACCCUCUUCCAUACACCCCCAAAUCGUGGUUGUUCGAGGUAUUGAGGCUCGAUUUCAACAAAGCCUAUUCAGAUCC